UACGUAGGGUGCAAGCGUUAUUCGGAAUCACUAGGCGUAAAGCGCGUGUAGGCGGCCCUGCAAGUCGGGUGUGAAAUCCCGAGGCUCAACCUCGGAACUGCACUCGAAACUGCUUGGCUCGAGUCCCGGAGAGGGUGGCGGAAUUCCCGGUGUAGGGGUGAAAUCCGUAGAUAUCGGGAGGAACACCAGUGGCGAAGGCGGCGACCUGGACGGUGACUGACGCUGAGACGCGAAAGCGUGGGGAGCAAACAGG
rnacentral:rRNA from 1 species